rnacentral:lncRNA from 1 species
UGGUGGAGGAGCAGUAUUUGGUGGUGCAGACGGCACAUGAACUUCAAUACUUAAUGGUGGAGGAGCAUUAUUUGGUGGCAUAGGCAGUGCAUGGCCUUCGACACUUGGCGGUGGAGCAUUAUUUGGUGGUGCAGAAGGUACAUGAACUUCAAUGCUUAGUGGUGGAGGAGCAUUAUUUGGUGGCAUAGGCGGUACAUGGCCUUCAACACUUGCAGGUGGAGGAGAAUUAGUUGGUGGCAUAGAUGGUACAUGACCUUCAACAUUUGGUGGUGGAGGAGCAUUAUUUGGUGGUGCAGUAGGUGCAUGAACUUCAAUGCUUAAUGGUGGAGGAACAUUAAUUGGUGGUGUGGGCGGUACAUGACCUUCAACACUUGGUGGUGGACGAGAAUUAGCUGGUGGCAGAGAUGGUACAUGACCUUCAACACUUGGUAGUGGAGGAGCAUCUUUUGGUGGCACCGACGGUGCUUGACUUUCAACACUUGGUGGUGGAGGAGAAGCAUCUUUUGGUGGCAAAGACGGUACUUGACUUUCAACACUUGGUGGUGCAGGAGCAUUAUUUGGUGGCUCUGACGGUACAUGUUCAGUACUUGGUGGUGGAGAAGCAGUUUUUGGUGGCAUAGGCGGUACAUGGCCUUCAACACUUGGUGGUGGAGGAGAAUUAGUCGGUGGCAUAGAUCGUACAUGGCCUUCAACACUUGGUGGCGGAGGAUCAUUAUUUGGUGGUGCAGUAGGUACAUGAACUUCAAUGCUUAGUGGUGGAGGAACUUUAAUUGGUGGCGUAGGCGGUACACGACCUUCAACACUUGGUGAUGGAGGAGAAUUAGCUGGUGGCAAAGAUGGUACAUGACCUUCAACACUUGGUAGUGGAGGAGCAUCUUUUGGUGGCACCGACGGUGCUUGACUUUCAACACUUGGUGGUGGAGGAGAAGCAUCUUUUGGUCGCAAAGGCGGUACUUGACUUUCAACACUUGGUGGUGGAGGAGCAUUAUUUGGUGGCUCUGACGGUACAUGUUCAGUACUUAGUGGUGGAGAAGCAGUUUUUGGUGGCAUAGGCGGUACAUGGCCUUCAACACUUGCAGGUGGAGGAGAAUUAGUUGGUGGCAUAGAUGGUACAUGACCUUCAACACUUGGUGGCGGAGGAGCGUUAUUUGGUGGUGUAGUAGGUACAUGAACUUCAAUGCUUAGUGGUGGAGGAACAUUAAUUGGUGGCGUAGGCGGUACACGACCUUCAACACUUGGUGAUGGAGGAGAAUUAGCUGGUGGCAAAGAUGGUACAUAACCUUCAACACUUGGUAGUGG